GAACUUCAUGCACCGGGCCUCU
rnacentral:miRNA from 1 species